rnacentral:tRNA from 1 species
GGAUUGUGGCUCAGUGGCAGAGCACUUGCCUAGCAUGUAUGAGGCACUGGGUUCAAUUCUUAGCACCA